GACGAACGCUGGCGGCGUGCUUAACACAUGCAAGUCGAGCGGAGCGGCGAACGGGUGAGUAACGCGUGAGUAACUGCCCCCCUCUCUGGGAUAACAGUUGGAAACGGCUGCUAAUACCGGAUAGUGGGGGAUGACUCGCGUCCUAUCGGCUUGUUGGUGGGGUAGUGGCCUACCACGGCGACGACGGGUAGCCGGCCUGGGGGGGCGACCGGCCACAUUGGGCUUGGAGACGUCCCAAGCUCCUACGGGAGGCAGCAGUGGGGAAUAGUGCAGAAUGGUGGAAACCCUGAUGCAGCAACGCCGCGUGCGGGAUGACGGCCUUCGGGUUGUAAACCGCUUUCAGCCAUGACGCGGUAGUGGCAGAAGAAGCACCGGCUAACUACGUGCCAGCCGCCGCGGUAAUUC
rnacentral:rRNA from 1 species